rnacentral:rRNA from 1 species
CGUGUAGGCGGCCUCUUAAGUCUGAUGUGAAAGCCCGGGGCUUACCCCCGGAAGGGCAUUGGAAACUGGGAGGCUAGAGUACCGGAGAGGAAGGUGGAAUUCCUGGUGUAGCGGUGAAAUGCGUAGAUAUCAGGAGGAACACCGGUGGCGAAGGCGGCCUUCUGGACGGAUACUGACGCUGAGACGCGAAAGCGUGGGGAGCAAACAGGAUUAGAUACCCUGGUAGUCCACGCUGUAAACGAUGGGCACUAGGUGUUCGGGGUAUUGACCCCCUGAGUGCCGCAGCUAACGCAUUAAGUGCCCCGCCUGGGGACUACGGCCGCAAGGGUUAAA